rnacentral:rRNA from 1 species
UUCGCAAUGCCCGAAAGGGUGACGGAGCGACGCCGCGUGGGUGAUGAAGGCCUUCGGGUUGUAAAGCCCUGUCAACUGGGAAGAAUGGCGGGAGGUGAAUAGCCAUCUCGUCUGACGCUACCAGUGAAGGAAGCACCGGCUAAAUACGUGCAAGCAGCCGCGGUAAUACGUAUGGUGCGAACGUUGUUCGGAAUCACUGGGCAUAAAGAGCACGUAGGCGGUUGAGCAAGUCCAUUGUGAAAUCCCCCGGCUUAACCGGGGAACUGCAGUGGAUACUACUUGACUUGAGUGCAGGAGGGGAGAGUGGAAUUCCAGGUGGAGCGGUGAAAUGCGUAGAUAUCUGGAAGAACACCGGUAGCGAAGGCGGUGGUCUGGGCCGAAACUGACGCUGAGGCGCGAAAGCCAGGGGAGCAAACGGGAUUAGAUACCCCGGUAGUCCUAGCCCUAAACGAUGGGCACUAAGUAGAGGGGUUUU